rnacentral:rRNA from 1 species
CGCACGCGCGCUACACUGACGGAGCCAGCGAGUAUUAACCUUGGCCGAGAGGUCUGGGAAAUCUUGUGAAACUCCGUCGUGCUGGGGAUAGAGCAUUGUAAUUAUUGCUCUUCAACGAGGAAUUCCUAGUAAGCGCAAGUCAUCAGCUUGCGUUGAUUACGUCCCUGCCCUUUGUACACACCGCCCGUCGCUACUACCGAUUGAAUGGCUUAGUGAGGCCUUCGGAUUGGUUUAAGGAAGGGGGCAACUCCAUCCUGGAACCGAAAAGUUGGACAAACUUGGUCAUUUAUAGGAAGUAAAAGUCGUAACAAGGUUUCCGUAGGUGAACCUGCGGAAGGAUCAUUACAGUUAUUAAUUCUUUGCCAGCGCUUAAUUGCGCGGCGGGAACUAAUCCUUACACACUGUGUUUUUUGUUAUUACAA